rnacentral:rRNA from 1 species
UUAGCGAAGUUCCUGAUGUCGCACUGCCAAGAAAAGCUUCUAGUGAGAAAGUAACUGCCCGUACCGCAAACCGACACAGGUAGUUGAGGAGAGAAUCCUAAGGUGUGCGAGAGAACUCUCGUUAAGGAACUCGGCAAAAUGACCCCGUAACUUCGGGAGAAGGGGUGCUGACCGCAAGGUCAGCCGCAGUGAAUAGGCCCAAGCGACUGUUUAUCAAAAACACAGGUCUCUGCAAAAUCGAAAGAUGACGUAUAGGGGCUGACGCCUGCCCGGUGCUGGAAGGUUAAGAGGAGAGGUUAGCGCAAGCGAAGCUUUGAAUUGAAGCCCCAGUAAACGGCGGCCGUAACUAUAACGGUCCUAAGGUAGCGAAAUUCCUUGUCGGGUAAGUUCCGACCCGCACGAAAGGCGUAACGAUUUGGGCACUGUCUCAACGAGAGACUCGGUGAAAUUAUAGUACCAGUGAAGAUGCUGGUUACUCGCGACAGGACGGAAAGACCCCAUGGAGCUUUACUGCAGUUUGAUAUUGCGUGUUUGUAUCACAUGUACAGGAUAGGUAGGAGCCGAAGAUACCGGGACGCCAGUCUCGGAGGAGGCAACGGUGGGAUACUACCCUUGUGAUAUGACCACUCUAACCCGCUGCUCUUAGAGAGCAGGGAGACAGUGUCAGACGGGCAGUUUGACUGGGGCGGUCGCCUCCAAAAAUGUAACGGAGGCGCCCAAAGGUUCCCUCAGAAUGGUUGGAAAUCAUUCGUAGAGUGUAAAGGCAGAAGGGAGCUUGACUGCGAGACCUACAAGUCGAGCAGGGACGAAAGUCGGGCUUAGUGAUCCGGUGGUUCCGCAUGGAAGGGCCAUCGCUCAACGGAUAAAAGCUACCCUGGGGAUAACAGGCUUAUCUCCCCCAAGAGUUCACAUCGACGGGGAGGUUUGGCACCUCGAUGUCGGCUCAUCGCAUCCUGGGGCUGUAGUCGGUCCCAAGGGUUGGGCUGUUCGCCCAUUAAAGCGGUACGCGAGCUGGGUUCAGAACGUCGUGAGACAGUUCGGUCCCUAUCCGUCGCGGGCGUUGGAAAUUUGAGAGGAGCUGUCCUUAGUACGAGAGGACCGGGAUGGACACACCGCUGGUGUACCAGUUGUUCUGCCAAGAGCAUCGCUGGGUAGCUAUGUGUGGACGGGAUAAACGCUGAAAGCAUCUAAGCGUGAAGCCCCCCUCAAGAUGAGAUUUCCCAUCACUUUAAGUGAGUAAGACCCCUGAGAGAUGAUCAGGUAGAUAGGAUGGGAGUGGAGGUGCAGCGAUGUAUGGAGCGGACCAAUACUAAUCGGUCGAGGACUUAACC